rnacentral:rRNA from 1 species
GACGAACGCUGGCGGCGUGCUUAACACAUGCAAGUCGAACGGAAGGGCCCCUUUGGGGGUACUCGAGUGGCGAACGGGUGAGUAACACGUGAGUAACCUGCCCUUGACUUCGGGAUAACUUCAGGAAACUGGGGCUAAUACCGGAUAGGAAUCCUUGCUGCAUGGUGGGGGUUGGAAAGCUUCGGCGGUUUUGGAUGGACUCGCGGCUUAUCAGCUUGUUGGUGGGGUAGUGGCUUACCAAGGCUUUGACGGGUAGCCGGCCUGAGAGGGCGACCGGCCACAUUGGGACUGAGAUACGGCCCAGACUCCUACGGGAGGCAGCAGUGGGGAAUAUUGCACAAUGGGCGGAAGCCUGAUGCAGCAACGCCGCGUGCGGGAUGACGGCCUUCGGGUUGUAAACCGCUUUCAGCAGGGGCGAAGCUUGUGGUGACGGUACCUGCAGAAGAAGCACCGGCUAACUACGUG